GGGUUGUGAGGUUAAGCGACUAAGCGUACACGGUGGAUGCCCUGGCAGUCAGAGGCGAUGAAGGACGUGCUAAUCUGCGAAAAGCGUCGGUAAGGUGAUAUGAACCGUUAUAACCGGCGAUGUCCGAAUGGGGAAACCCAGUGUGAUUCGUCACACUAUCGUUAACUGAAUACAUAGGUUAACGAGGCGAACCGGGGGAACUGAAACAUCUAAGUACCCCGAGGAAAAGAAAUCAACCGAGAUUCCCCCAGUAGCGGCGAGCGAACGGGGAGCAGCCCAGAGUCUGAAUCAGCUUGUGUGUUAGUGGAACGGUCUGGAAAGUCCGACGGUACAGGGUGAUAGUCCCGUACACCAAAAUGCACAGGCUGUGAACUCGAAGAGUAGGGCGGGACACGUGGUAUCCUGUCUGAAUAUGGGGGGACCAUCCUCCAAGGCUAAAUACUCCUGACUGACCGAUAGUGAACCAGUACCGUGAGGGAAAGGCGAAAAGAACCCCGGCGAGGGGAGUGAAAAAGAACCUGAAACCGUGUACGUACAAGCAGUGGGAGCACCUUCGGGUGUGACUGCGUACCUUUUGUAUAAUGGGUCAGCGACUUAUAUUCUGUAGCAAGGUUAACCGUAUAGGGGAGCCGCAGGGAAACCGAGUCUUAACUGGGCGUUAAGUUGCAGGGUAUAGACCCGAAACCCGGUGAUCUAGCCAUGGGCAGGUUGAAGGUUGGGUAACACUAACUGGAGGACCGAACCGACUAAUGUUGAAAAAUUAGCGGAUGACUUGUGGCUGGGGGUGAAAGGCCAAUCAAACCGGGAGAUAGCUGGUUCUCCCCGAAAGCUAUUUAGGUAGCGCCUCGUGAACUCAUCUUCGGGGGUAGAGCACUGUUUCGGCUAGGGGGUCAUCCCGACUUACCAACCCGAUGCAAACUACGAAUACCGAAGAAUGUUAUCACGGGAGACACACGGCGGGUGCUAACGUCCGUCGUGAAGAGGGAAACAACCCAGACCGCCAGCUAAGGUCCCAAAGUCAUGGUUAAGUGGGAAACGAUGUGGGAAGGCACAGACAGCCAGGAUGUUGGCUUAGAAGCAGCCAUCAUUUAAAGAAAGCGUAAUAGCUCACUGGUCGAGUCGGCCUGCGCGGAAGAUGUAACGGGGCUAAACCAUGCACCGAAGCUGCGGCAGCGACACUAUGUGUUGUUGGGUAGGGGAGCGUUCUGUAAGCCUGCGAAGGUGACCUGUGAGGGUUGCUGGAGGUAUCAGAAGUGCGAAUGCUGACAUAAGUAACGAUAAAGCGGGUGAAAAGCCCGCUCGCCGGAAGACCAAGGGUUCCUGUCCAACGUUAAUCGGGGCAGGGUGAGUCGACCCCUAAGGCGAGGCCGAAAGGCGUAGUCGAUGGGAAACAGGUUAAUAUUCCUGUACUUGGUGUUACUGCGAAGGGGGGACGGAGAAGGCUAUGUUAGCCGGGCGACGGUUGUCCCGGUUUAAGCAUGUAGGCUGGUUAUCCAGGCAAAUCCGGAUAAUCAAGGCUGAGGUGUGAUGACGAGGCACUACGGUGCUGAAGUAACAAAUGCCCUGCUUCCAGGAAAAGCCUCUAAGCAUCAGGUAACAUUAAAUCGUACCCCAAACCGACACAGGUGGUCAGGUAGAGAAUACCAAGGCGCUUGAGAGAACUCGGGUGAAGGAACUAGGCAAAAUGGUGCCGUAACUUCGGGAGAAGGCACGCUGGUGUGUAGGUGAAGUCCCUGCGGAUGGAGCUGAGACCAGUCGAAGAUACCAGCUGGCUGCAACUGUUUAUUAAAAACACAGCACUGUGCAAACACGAAAGUGGACGUAUACGGUGUGACGCCUGCCCGGUGCCGGAAGGUUAAUUGAUGGGGUUAUCCGUAAGGAGAAGCUCUUGAUCGAAGCCCCGGUAAACGGCGGCCGUAACUAUAACGGUCCUAAGGUAGCGAAAUUCCUUGUCGGGUAAGUUCCGACCUGCACGAAUGGCGUAAUGAUGGCCAGGCUGUCUCCACCCGAGACUCAGUGAAAUUGAACUCGCUGUGAAGAUGCAGUGUACCCGCGGCAAGACGGAAAGACCCCGUGAACCUUUACUAUAGCUUGACACUGAACAUUGAGCCUUGAUGUGUAGGAUAGGUGGGAGGCUUUGAAGCGUGGACGCCAGUCUGCGUGGAGCCAACCUUGAAAUACCACCCUUUAAUGUUUGAUGUUCUAACGUUGGCCCCUUACCGGGGUUGCGGACAGUGUCUGGUGGGUAGUUUGACUGGGGCGGUCUCCUCCCAAAGCGUAACGGAGGAGCACGAAGGUUAGCUAAUCCUGGUCGGACAUCAGGAGGUUAGUGCAAUGGCAUAAGCUAGCUUGACUGCGAGCGUGACGGCGCGAGCAGGUGCGAAAGCAGGUCAUAGUGAUCCGGUGGUUCUGAAUGGAAGGGCCAUCGCUCAACGGAUAAAAGGUACUCCGGGGAUAACAGGCUGAUACCGCCCAAGAGUUCAUAUCGACGGCGGUGUUUGGCACCUCGAUGUCGGCUCAUCACAUCCUGGGGCUGAAGUAGGUCCCAAGGGUAUGGCUGUUCGCCAUUUAAAGUGGUACGCGAGCUGGGUUUAGAACGUCGUGAGACAGUUCGGUCCCUAUCUGCCGUGGGCGCUGGAGAAUUGAGGGGGGCUGCUCCUAGUACGAGAGGACCGGAGUGGACGCAUCACUGGUGUUCGGGUUGUCAUGCCAAUGGCACUGCCCGGUAGCUAAAUGCGGAAGAGAUAAGUGCUGAAAGCAUCUAAGCACGAAACUUGCCCCGAGAUGAGUUCUCCCUGAGACUUUAAGUCUCCUGAAGGAACGUUGAAGACGACGACGUUGAUAGGCCGGGUGUGUAAGCGCAGCGAUGCGUUGAGCUAACCGGUACUAAUGAACCGUGAGGCUUAACCUUACAACGCCGAAG
rnacentral:rRNA from 1 species